GUCUUCUUGCUAUAUUUAGGAAGUCUGGCCUGCCCAGUGAAAAUAAUUUAACGGCCGCGGUAUACUGACCGUGCAAAGGUAGCAUAAUCAUUAGUCUUUUAAUAGAGGGCUGGUAUGAAGGGUUUAACGAGGUGUUGACUGUCUCAUUUAAUUUGAAUUUAGAAUUUAAUUUUUUAGUUAAAAAGCUAAAAUAUUAUUGGAAGACGAGAAGACCCUAUAGAGCUUUAUAUUUUUAUUAUUAAUUUAUUUUAGUUUAUUAUUAUUUAUUAUUAAUAGAAAAUAUUUUGUUGGGGUGACAAAAAUAUAUAAAUAACUUUUUCAUUUAUUUUACAUUGAUAUAUGAAUAUUAGAUCCAGUCUUAUUGAUUGUUAGAUUAAGUUACCUUAGGGAUAACAGCGUAAUCCCUCUCCAGAGUUCAUAUUUACAGAGGGGCUUGCGACCUCGAUGUUGGAUUAAGAUAAUAAUUAGGUGCAGCCGCUUAAUUAAUAGGUCUGUUCGACCUUUAAAUUCUU
rnacentral:rRNA from 1 species